rnacentral:rRNA from 1 species
UAGUGUGAAAGUACACGAGCGGCGGACGGCUGAGUAACGCGUAGGAACGUACCCAAGUGAGGGAUAAGCACCGGAAACGGUGUCUAAUACCGCAUGUGAUCUUCGGAUUAAAGCUUUAUGCGCUUGGGAGCGACCUGCGUAAGAUUAGUUUGUUGGUGAGGUAAUGGCUCACCAAGACUACGGUCUUUAGCUGGUCUGAGAGGAUGAUCAGCCAGACUGGGACUGAGACACGGCCCAGACUCCUACGGGAGGCAGCAGUAGGGAAUUUCCACAAUGGACGAAAGUCUGAUGGAGCAACGCCGCGUGCAGGAUGAAGGCCUUCGGGUUGUAAACUGCUUUUAUCUGUGACGAUUAUGACGGUAGCAGAUGAAUAAGGAUCGGCUAACUCCGUG